UACGUAGGCAGCAAGCGUUGUUCGGAAUUACUGGGCGUAAAGAGUGUGUAGGCGGUGUUCUAAGUCUGUUGUGAAAUCUCCCGGCUUAACUGGGAGGGUGCGGCGGAGACUGGAAUGCUAGAGUGUGGGAGAGGUAAGCGGAAUUCCUGGUGUAGCGGUGAAAUGCGUAGAUAUCAGGAGGAACACCUGUGGUGUAGACAGCUUACUGGACCACGACUGACGCUGAGACACGAAAGCGUGGGGAGCAAAAGGG
rnacentral:rRNA from 1 species